rnacentral:sRNA from 1 species
ACUUUGCAGAUACUGUGGCUGCUUUUCACACUGGCUAAGUCAGUUCAUGGCAAAAUAUGAGGGAAUUCACCAAUCCCACUAAUCCUGACGAGGCUGACAAAGUUGGG